GAUGAACGCUGGCGGCGUGCCUAAUACAUGCAAGUCGAGCGAACAGACGAGGAGCUUGCUCCUCUGACGUUAGCGGCGGACGGGUGAGUAACACGUGGAUAACCUACCUAUAAGACUGGGAUAACUUCGGGAAACCGGAGCUAAUACCGGAUAAUAUAUUGAACCGCAUGAUUCAAUAGUGAAUGACGGCUUUGCUGUCUCUUAUAGAUGGAUCCGCGCCGCAUAAGCUAGUUGGUAAGGUAACGGCUUACCAAGGCAACGUAGCGUAGCCGACCUGAGAGGGUGAUCGGCCACACUGGAACUGAGACACGGUCCAGACUCCUACGGGAGGCAGCAGUAGGGAAUCUUCCGCAAUGGGCGAAAGCUUGACGGAGCAACGCCGCGUGAGUGAUGAAGGUCUUCGGAUCGUAAAACUCUGUUAUUAGGGAAGAACAAAUGUGUAAGUACCUAUGCACGUCUUGACGGUACCUAAUCAGAAAGCCACGGCUAACUACGUG
rnacentral:rRNA from 1 species